AUCGGGAUUCGGAGCAGUGGCGAACUGGUGAGUAAUACGUAGAUAAUCUACCCGACGGAUGGGGAUAACAGCUCGAAAGGGCUGCUAAUACCGAAUACGCUCCCUGUGCCGCAUGACGCGGGGAGGAAAGAUGGCCUCUGCUUGCAAGCUGUCGCCGACGGUUGGGUCUACGCCCCAUUAGCUUGUUGGUGGGGUAACGGCCUACCAAGGCUACGAUGGGUAGCUGGUUUGAGAGGGCGACCAGCCACACUGGGACUGAGAUACGGCCCAGACUCCUACGGGAGGCAGCAGUGAGGAAUUUUCCGCAAUGGAGGAAACUCUGACGGAGCGACGCCGCGUGGGUGAAGAAGGCUUUCGGGUUGUAAAGCCCUGUCAGGUGGGACGAAAGACCGGGUGUUAAUAGCACCCGAGGAUGACUGUACCACCAAAGGAAGCACCGGCCAACUACGUGCCAGCAGCCGCGGUAAUACGUAGGGUGCAAGCGUUAUCCGGAAUUACUGGGCGUAAAGAGCUCGUAGGCGGUUUGGUAAGUCCUAUGUGAAAGAUCCGGGCUCAACCCGGGGAACGCGUCGGAUACUGCCAAACUUGAGAGCGGGAGAGGAAAGUGGAAUUCCAGGUGUAGCGGUGAAAUGCGUAGAUAUCUGGAAGAACACCGGUGGCGAAGGCGGCUUUCUAGACCGCAUCUGACGCUGAGGAGCGAAAGCCAGGGGAGCGAACGGGAUUAGAUACCCCGGUAGUCCACGCCGUAAACGAUGUCUACUAGGUCGUGGAGGUUCUGACACCUGCACAGCCGAAGCAAAAGUGUUAAGUAGACCGCCUGGGGAGUACGGUCGCAAGGCUAAAACUCAAAGGAAUUGACGGGGGCUCACACAAGCGGUGGAGCAUGUGGAUCAAUUCGAAGCAACGCGCAGAACCUUACCUGGGUUUGACAUGCUUGGAUGCUUGCCGAGAAACCGGUUAAGCUGCCCUUCGGGGUGAAACUUGCACAGGUGCUGCAUGGCUGUCGUCAGCUCGUGCCGUGAGGUGUUGGGUUAAGUCCCGCAACGAGCGCAACCCCUGUCGUCAGUUGUUUUCUCUGGCGAGACCGCCCCGCGAAACGGGGAGGAAGGUGGGGAUGACGUCAAGUCAGCAUGGCCCUUAUGUCCUGGGCUACACACACGCUACAAUGGGUGGUACAAUUGGUUGCAAUGGAGCGAUCCGGAGCCAAUCCCUAAAGCCAUCCUCAGUACGAAUUGCAGGCUGAAACCCGCCUGCAUGAAGCUGGAGUUGCUAGUAACCGCAGGUCAGCAUACUGCGGUGAAUACGUUCUCGGGCCUUGUACACACCGCCCGUCACGUCAUGAAAGUUGGCAACACCUGAAGUCGAUGGGCUAACCCCGGCUUGCCGGGGAGGCAG
rnacentral:rRNA from 1 species